rnacentral:lncRNA from 1 species
UCAUCAUUUAGUUUCUGUCCAGAAAUGGACUUUUGUUAGUAUUGCAUUAGGAAGUUUUUGUGUUGCCAAAUCUAGCUAUGCCAUCAUUGGUUGCAUCCAAGGAGACCACUAUCUGGAAGGUUUGGUGGCAAGAAAACAUCCCUAGAUUCCCAUGGCAUUCUGUCAAACACAUGGUGUCCCUGACGAGAUUUGACAAGCCUUUCAGUUUGUUUGGUGGAGUUUAACCCGGGACCUAACCAGCAUGUCUACUAACCCUUUAC